AACUCACAUAUACUUCCGGUUCAGAAACAUCAGGAGUUGCAGACAUUUCACUAAAGAUGCUUGAAAACAUAGAUGACAGGUUAAAAUUUCUGUUGGGUCUGACAGCUGCAGCUACGGCCAAGUAUCUGGCCACCUGGUGGCUGAGAGAGAAGAGGCAGGACAGGUUUGAGUUGGUUGGCACAGUCAAAGAACUGAUCUGCUAUCCUGUUAAGUCAUGUAAAGGCGUUUAUGUUGAUGAAGCAGAAUGCACAAAGUUUGGUCUGAAAGUAGAUGGUGUAUUUGAUAGACACUGGAUGGUAACUCGAGACAAUGGGCGUUUCUUGUCGCAGAGACAGGAGCCAAAGAUGGCCUUGAUAACAGUGAAGGUUACUGAAUCCGGAGUGGAGCUGAGUGCACCAGGAAUGUCACCUUGUCAGCUUAGUAGGGACAUUCAGAAAACGAGGAAUAAUAUCUCCAAAUGCACGGUAUGGGACUGUAAUACACAAGGUCUAGACUGUGGUGAUGCUGCAGGUCAGUGGGUGUCACAGUACCUAGGAAAACCUGGACUCCGAGUAAUGUUUUAUUCUCACGACCUAGAGAAAAGGACAUUUAUAAAUGAGACAAAACCAUGGUUUACUAGAACCCUAGAAACAGACUAUUGUGGGUAUGCUGACUGGGCUACCUAUUUAUUCCUGACCACAUCUUCAUUAGAAGCCCUCAACAAGCACCUUAAGAAACCACUCACAAUGAAGAGUUUCCGACCAAACAUCGUCAUUGAUGGAACAGAUGCAUUUGAAGAGGACACAUGGGAAGAAAUUCUUAUCGGGGAGGAUGUACAAAUGAGAUGUCUUGAUGCCUGUUCUAGGAUGACUGGGAGGAGAUUAUCAUAGGAGACAAAGUCCAGAUGAGAUGUUUGUCUGCCUGUGACAGAUGUGUGUUGACUACUGUUGAUCCAGAGAAAGGUGUCAGAAGUGAGGAUGGUGAACCAUUGAAGACAUUAAAAAGAAUAAGGUCCAUUCCUCCAUAUGACAAAUACAACGAGUGUGUGUUCGGUAUGAAUGCUGCA
rnacentral:misc_RNA from 1 species